UAUGCGAUUCGUGAUUGUCUAAGAGUGCCUUCCUCUUUGCCCUAUUGGCUUGAGCCUUAGAGAUCUGCACCUUAACAUCCCUCUUAACACUCAAAUCUUUUAAUACCCCAUUUAUGUCUUAAUAUCUUCAAUAUAGAGUUUAAACAACCAUCUAGAGUUUCCAAGGAGAUUAUAAAAAUAUCUCCACAUUUAUAUGUGGGUUCAAACC
rnacentral:lncRNA from 1 species